UCCCUGCCCCUCCCUGCUCUCUGAUGCAAUAUUCACAUUUUUGGUCGAAGCAGAACCAGCCCCAGGUCUGCUCUGCCACUGCAGGACAAUGGGAGAGCUCACAAGGAUUACACUGGUGGAAAGUUUCAGGUCUGCUCUGCCACUGCAGGACACUGGGAGAGCUCACAAGGAUUACACUGGUGGAAAGUUUCAGGUCUGCUCUGCCACUGCAGGACACUGGGAGAGCUCACAAGGAUUACACUGGGACAGAGAAACUG